CGCCGCCCGCCCCCCCCUCCGCCCCAGCUCAGCGGUUUCCCCUGCUCUCGGCGACCACAGCCUCCACCGACCGGCCCGCUAGCACCACACCAGUUGCACCGUCCAGGCCUGGCCUAUUCUUGGUUCUAAGUCUUGGGGAGGCAAAGAAUACCAGGAUUCCGAGCCCCGGUUCGAUUGGACAAGACUGUGCAAACAAGGAGUUCUCAAAACACUGUUUGGAGUGUGGCUCCAGUGCCCCUAAGCAAUUGACCAUCCAGUUGGAGAGGUGAGACACUUUGGUCCGUGAAGGGACGAAAUAAAAGAGUUUGGAUGUGUUCCAGGACAGAACAGAACCAACUUGAACCAACCUGUUAUCACCAUGGUCACUAACACCCGCUACCCCCUGCCCCCAACAUGGGCAUAAGUUACCAGAUCAACCCUAUAACUUCAGGGCUUUGAAGUUCUUAUCAAAGCAACAGGACUUCUUUGGCAACUCCCCAGGGCCAUUUGACACUUUCUGGAGCCAGCCGCCUAUCAGGAGCUCCCAGAACUCCACUCAGACAGAUCUCUGGCCACCACGGUCCCUUGCGAGGUUCUGGGUAAACAGCUCCAGGAGGACAGGCCAGAUCUGCUUGGGGCAGCAAGCUGGGAGCUGGCCCACAUGCCUGGAUGUUCUCCAGGAACUCACCUAGAUUUGACCUGACAUGUUAACAUCUAGGGUCUUAAUGAAACGGAUUCACUGUAUCUCUUUCGCAGCACUGUUACACUUUACUGGGGUAAUAGCUCCUCCGUUUUGUUUAGGCUCUUCUUCCCAAUUGCCAGAUCCAAAGUACAAUUCUCAGCUCUCAUUCUACUUGACCUCUCUCCUUCAUUUGAAUACUUCCUCCGUGAGUUUCUUCUCCAUCGUUUUCCAUGAUUCCACUUUCUUCUAUAUUCUCCUUCUUCCAUGACCAUUCUCCUUUGCCGGCUCAGCUUUCUUUGGCUCUGACCUGUUCCUGAGCCAUCCCUGAAUCUCUUCCUGUAUACAACCUGUGUCACGCUCUCACUCACAUUCCACAAUGUCAGCUGCUACCCAGAUCUUGAGGAGUGAUGAAUCUGGACCUCCAGCUCCUCAGGAGCAGGCCUGAACACUAGUUUUGGUCACAUCACAGGCCCAUCAAUUUGGACAAAUCCCAAACCUUAUUCCCAAGCCUGCUUUCCUCCAGUCUUUUUUUUUUUUUUUUUACCAAAUCACCCAAACUAGAAGUCCCAAGAGUCAUCCACAGCUCCUACCUCAACCCCUUAAUCUAAUCGGUCACCAAGUCUUAUCAGUUUUAACUUUGAAUCUCCACUCUACCCUCCACCCCCCAGCCGAGCCUUUAGCAUAUCUCUUCUCAUCAGUAGCCUCUUAACUAAUCUGGCCUCUACUCAUUCCCCAUUGCUCCAGAGUUCUCUUUCUACAAUACAAACGUGAAUUUGUUCCUUAAAAUUCUCAACAGUCUCCAUAAACAUGAGCCUCAUGGCUGUGACAUAUCUGGCCAGGAUCUGUGCACCUACCUUAUUUCCCUCCACCUUCCACACAAAUACACCUUAAAUUUCAGUUGUAACAAGCCAAGCUUGCCCUACUCCUUUGUGUCUCCUUGCUUUCUCUCAUUCUGCUAUCCCUGGCAUUGGCGCUAAUACUAAUCGAGGGCUGCCAUGCACUAUUCUGAGCCCACAGCACUCACUAACUCCCAUAAGCCUCACUUCAGCCCUAUGAACUGUGCCCAGUGAUCACGCCCAUUCUACAGAGGAGGAAACUGAAGCACACAAAUGUUAAAUAACAUGCCUAAGUUUCCUUGGCUGGUAAGUAGUAGAACUGGGAUUUAAGCCCACAUAGUCUGGCUACAGACUAUUCUCUUAACCACCAUACUCUAUUUCCUACCAAGGCCUCAUCUCAAUUUAAAGACCAUCUUCUCUAUGAUUAUCUCCUGACAUCAUUCAUUCCUGGAUUACAGCAGUUAAGCAUUGUUUUCCUUUCUGUACUUGUGACACCUUGUAUACUCUUCUAUUACACUUAGGACAUUUUUGACAUCAUACAGUAAUCAUGUGCCUGUGUGACCACCUCCCCUGCCAGACUGUGUACUCCUCCAGGGCAGAGACUCACACAUCUUUGAGUUUUCAGUGUCAGAGCAAGUACCUGACAUAUAUGACAUAUGCAUGUGCUACAUGAUAAUAGUUGAAUAAAUUAAAAGAAAGAAGAUUUGGAUGCCUGGGUAGCUCAGCGGUUUAGUGCCUGCCUUCAGGCCAGGGCGUGAUCCUGGAGUCCCGGGAUCGAGUCCCGCAUCGGGCUUCCUGCAUGGAGCCUGCUUCUCCCUCUGCUUGUGUCUCUGCCUCUCUCUCUCUGUGUCUCUCAUGAAUAAAUAAACAAAUUUGGUCUUAUUGAUCCAUUUUAAAAAAUAAAAUGAAAGAAGAUAUCUGAUAUCUGUCAAUUUGCCUUAAGGCUAUGCCUAUGUUGUUUGUUAUUGUAAUGGAAUGUCUGUCUUCUUUGGCAGAUGUAUGUUAUACCAUAUGGUCAGAUGGUAAAUGUAGUAGCAACUGUACCCAUUACUGCACUUAGAAGCUACAGAACUGAAUGUGAAAUGGAGAAUUAUUACCCAAUCAUCAUUAUUGAGGAAACAUAUUUGUUAAAAUUGUCCUGAUUAUUUUUGAAAUGGAAAAGUCCUGAAGAUAAAGCAUAAAUUACAAUAUUUGAUCAAAUAAGGAAUAUUCAUUAACAUGUUAGUGUUACUUUUUGUCACGAAGUUUCAAAUAUUUAAGACUUUGAGGUUUUUUUAAGAACAGAAUUUGUAAAGACUAUUUCCUAAGUGACAAUCUCAAUACAAAAUAAGAAGAUGGAACCAUGUAGCUGAAAUCCACUAUCCUCAUUCCGUGUGUGUAUACAGAUAGACAGAUGUGUAUACACAUCUAUUGCUACAUAGACAAAUUAAUAGAGAGUAUUUGUAGGUAGUAUAACUUUUCAAGGUAAAAUAUGCAACUAUUUGAAAAUGAAUGUUGCUUCAGAUGCUUAAAAAUUCAUGUUAAAAUAAAUAUAUUUGCUGA